GACGAACGCUGGCGGCGUGCCUAAUACAUGCAAGUCGAACGCAGUGGGGACGGGUGAGUAACACGUGGGUAACCUCCCAUCAGAGGGGAUAACACUUGGAAACAGUUGCUAAACCGAUACUGAUGGAUGAACCCGCGGUGCAUUAGCUAGUGGGUGAGGUAACGGCUCACCAAGGCCCCGAUGCAUAGCCGAACUGCGAGGGUGAGCGGCCACACGGGGACUGAGACACGGCCCAGACUCCUACGGGAGGCAGCAGUAGGGAAUCUUCGGCAAUGGACGAAAGUCUGACCGAGCAACGCCGCGUGAGUGAAGAAGGUUUUCGGAUCGUAAAACACUGUUGUUAGAGAAGCGGGAUAUAAACAGAAAGCAACGGCUAACUACGUGCCAGCAGCCGCGGUAAUAG
rnacentral:rRNA from 1 species